GAUGAACGCUGGCGGCGUGCCUAAUACAUGCAAGUCGAGCGAACGGACGAGAAGCUUGCUUCUCUGAUGUUAGCGGCGGACGGGUGAGUAACACGUGGAUAACCUACCUAUAAGACUGGGAUAACUUCGGGAAACCGGAGCUAAUACCGGAUAAUAUUUUGAACCGCAUGGUUCAAAAGUGAAAGACGGUCUUGCUGUCACUUAUAGAUGGAUCCGCGCUGCAUUAGCUAGUUGGUAAGGUAACGGCUUACCAAGGCAACGAUGCAUAGCCGACCUGAGAGGGUGAUCGGCCACACUGGAACUGAGACACGGUCCAGACUCCUACGGGAGGCAGCAGUAGGGAAUCUUCCGCAAUGGGCGAAAGCCUGACGGAGCAACGCCGCGUGAGUGAUGAAGGUCUUCGGAUCGUAAAACUCUGUUAUUAGGGAAGAACAUAUGUGUAAGUAACUGUGCACAUCUUGACGGUACCUAAUCAGAAAGCCACGGCUAACUACGUGCCAGCAGCCGCGGUAAUACGUAGGUGGCAAGCGUUAUCCGGAAUUAUUGGGCGUAAAGCGCGCGUAGGCGGUUUUUUAAGUCUGAUGUGAAAGCUCACGGCUCAACCGUGGAGGGUCAUUGGAAACUGGAAAACUUGAGUGCAGAAGAGGAAAGUGGAAUUCCAUGUGUAGCGGUGAAAUGCGCAGAGAUAUGGAGGAACACCAGUGGCGAAGGCGACUUUCUGGUCUGUAACUGACGCUGAUGUGCGAAAGCGUGGGGAUCAAACAGGAUUAGAUACCCUGGUAGUCCACGCCGUAAACGAUGAGUGCUAAGUGUUAGGGGGUUUCCGCCCCUUAGUGCUGCAGCUAACGCAUUAAGCACUCCGCCUGGGGAGUACGACCGCAAGGUUGAAACUCAAAGGAAUUGACGGGGACCCGCACAAGCGGUGGAGCAUGUGGUUUAAUUCGAAGCAACGCGAAGAACCUUACCAAAUCUUGACAUCCUUUGACAACUCUAGAGAUAGAGCUUUCCCCUUCGGGGGACAAAGUGACAGGUGGUGCAUGGUUGUCGUCAGCUCGUGUCGUGAGAUGUUGGGUUAAGUCCCGCAACGAGCGCAACCCUUAAGCUUAGUUGCCAUCAUUAAGUUGGGCACUCUAAGUUGACUGCCGGUGACAAACCGGAGGAAGGUGGGGAUGACGUCAAAUCAUCAUGCCCCUUAUGAUUUGGGCUACACACGUGCUACAAUGGACAAUACAAAGGGCAGCGAAACCGCGAGGUCAAGCAAAUCCCAUAAAGUUGUUCUCAGUUCGGAUUGUAGUCUGCAACUCGACUACAUGAAGCUGGAAUCGCUAGUAAUCGUAGAUCAGCAUGCUACGGUGAAUACGUUCCCGGGUCU
rnacentral:rRNA from 1 species